rfam:Eutrema salsugineum unplaced genomic scaffold scaffold_4, whole genome shotgun sequence.
AAACCAUGAUGAGGGCAGUCUCUCUCAUACUCUUUAAAUCACUCCCAAGGUUCAUAGAAUGAUACUACAGGGCCUUGUUGGAAACUUUGUAUGUUCUUUCUCAGCU